rnacentral:rRNA from 1 species
UACGGGGGGAGCAAGCGUUGUUCGGAUUUACUGGGCGUAAAGGGCGCGUAGGCGGUCAGCACAAGUCAGUUGUGAAAUCUCCGAGCUUAACUCGGAAAGGUCAACUGAUACUGUGCGACUAGAGUGCAGAAGGGGCAACUGGAAUUCUUGGUGUAGCGGUGAAAUGCGUAGAUAUCAAGAGGAACACCUGCGGCGAAGGCGGGUUGCUGGGCUGACACUGACGCUGAUGCGCGAAAGCGUGGGGAGCGAACCGG